rnacentral:tRNA from 1 species
GGGGCUAUAGCUCGGCUGGGAGAGCGCCUGCCUUGCACGCAGGAGGUCAGCGGUUCGAUCCCGCUUAGCUCCACCA